CGUCAAAUCCUCAUGGCCCUUACGCCUGGGGCUAGACACGUGCUACAAUGGUCGGUACAGCGGGCAGCAAGACCGCGAGGUGGAGCCAAUCCCAAAAAACGCGUCUCAGUCCGGAUUGCAGUCUGCAACUCGACUGCAUGAAGUCGGAAUCGCUAGUAAUUCUGGAUCAGCAUGCCAGGGUGAAUGCGUUCCCGGGCCUU
rnacentral:rRNA from 1 species